UAUAUAUAUAUAUAUAUAUAUAUAUAUAUAUGUAUAUGUAUAGUAUUUAAAAACAAUUUUUAUUUUGUUCACACUUCCAUCAUCACUGAAACCUUUGAAUUUUUGGAGAAGUUAAAUUCUGCAUUAUUAUUAUUAUUAUUAUAAUAACUGUAGUGGCUAGUGCAUAGAAAGAAAAGAGUGAGAGAGAGAGAGCUAAGCUCCUAGUGAGCUUAAUGCACAACCUAGAUUUUGAUACCUGGUUGUUAUGUUACCACAUCACAUCCCGUUAUGCUGCUGCCAGUGUCCUGUCCACUUGAAGAGGGAGAGGCACAAAUGUUCCUGCAGCUCGUUUGCCCACCCCCCAUAAUAAAUCCGAAUGCGUUGCACCUCAAUGAAAAUUAUCAUCUUCAUUAUUAUUAUUAUUAUAUUUGCCUUUCAUCUUUUUGGGGUCAAUAAAAUAAGUACCAUUUGAUCACUGGUAUUGAUGUAAUUGACUAGCUACCCAGACCCAUCCCUUAAAAUUUCAGGCCCUGUGUCUUUAGUUAAAUGGAUUGUUAUUAUAGGUGGUGAGCUGGUAAAAUCACUAUUGCGUUGGAUAAAAUGCUUAGCGUAUUACUUCCAGUUAUUUGCAUUCUGAGUUCAAAUUCUGCCAAGGUUGACUGUGCCUUUCAUCCUUUCACAGUCGAUAAAUUAAGUACAAGUUGAAGACUGGGGUCGAUGUAAUUGACAUAUCCCCUUCCCUAAAAUGGCUGCCCUUGUGGCAAAAUUCGAAAUUAUUAUUAUUAUUGUUAUGGCAGUGAGUUAGUAGAAUUGUUCAAGUGCUGCAAAGAAGGCCUUGCUGUAUUUCUCCCUGCUUAUUACAUUCUGAGUUCAAAUCCUACCAGGAUUAUCUUUGUCUCAUCCUUUCAUGGGUUAAGGAUACCAGAUACCAGUCCAAGCGCUGGUGUCAAUUUAAUUGACUAACACCCUUCCCCCAAAUUACUUGCCUUGUGCAUAAAUUAGAAACAAUUAUUAUUAUUAUCAUUAUUUUAAUGACAUUAUACAGCUGCUCCCUGAAGAAUGUGACUGUCAGUUGGUAGUUAAUUUUUUUCCUUUUUCUCCCCAAUGCAUGUCUGUGAUGUGAUUAUUUAUUUCUGCAUUUAACAUUCGUCUUUCUCUUGGUUUAGAAUUUGUAGACGGAUCUUUGUAUUAUCACUCUCUCUUCUUCCCUUA